AAAUCUCACCUGCUUCUUAGGGUACUGUAUAGAACUAGGGGGACUUAAAUCCAUUUUACUCUUACCCUGAUCCCUCUCGCGGUCAAGCAACUCACGCUUAGUGCACUUGACCUCCUCCAUUAUCUUUGCGUUGUCAACUAGAACUGUAAAAACCCGCUCCCUCUGAGGAGCUAUCAAAACCCGUAAAUCAUAUCUCAAC
rnacentral:lncRNA from 1 species